AUGCUUUUUCUGCAAGUAAUAACGGAGAAUUCAAACUGGCAGUUUUUGGUUAUGUAUGACGUCAACAUAAUCGGACCUUUGAUCGACUUUGAUAGUUACUGGAUCACUUUUGUUUUGUACACCGAGGAGUGAACAUAGAAAUUCUCACAGAAUAUCUUUCCUGCAAGUAUCAACGAAAAUUUUAAAACUUUAUUGUAAUCGAGCGCGUAGCAACGAAGUAAUCGAGUGUUCGUCUCGCUAAAAUAAAAAUAU